rnacentral:rRNA from 1 species
UUGUCCUACGGGGCGCAGCAGUGGGGAAUAUUGGGCAAUGGGCGCAAGCCUGACCCAGCAACGCCGCGUGAAGGAAGAAGGCUUUCGGGUUGUAAACUUCUUUUCUCAGGGACGAAGAAAGUGACGGUACCUGAGGAAUAAGCCACGGCUAACUACGUGCCAGCAGCCGCGGUAAUACGUAGGUGGCAAGCGUUAUCCGGAUUUACUGGGUGUAAAGGGCGUGUAGGCGGGAAAGCAAGUCAGAUGUGAAAACCAUUGGCUCAACCUGUGGCCUGCGUUUGAAACUGUUUUUCUUUAGUACUGGG